ACUUUUAAGGAAAACUAUUAUUUCGUGCUGUCUCUCUCCGGAACGAAGGCAGAGGACAGCAGGAAUCGCCAACCCCAAGAAAUACCGUGCUUUAUUGAAGGCGGACAGGGGGUCAGGGAGCGGGUGAGGGCGCGGCGGACCGCGACCUCGAGACUCCGCCUCCCAAGGGCCCCGCCCCGCCGCCCUGGGCUCCACCGCCUAGGCCCCGCCCCGCUGCCCCGGGCCCCGCCCCGGCCCGUCGCCAUGUUGUUUCCUCGGUGCUGGACGGCAGCAAGUGGAGUCGCGCCCUGGCAGCGCUGCGUUGCUGCCGCCGCCGUCUUCUGCCCGCCGAGUCCUCAACCCUCUCUCUUUCCUCCCUGCACCCGUCCGGGCUGGCCCGGAGCUCCCCGGCGUCUUCCGUGUGGCCGCGAGAUAAUGAUGAUGCUUGAACUGAAUAAUUAAGGUAAGAUUUAUGACCUAUGGAGUGUGCUUUUCUUACACAGAUUUCUUUGUAGAAUUUAGCUGAAUUGCUAAAGUCAUGUUUUAACCUUGGUGAACAUUUUUGCCUUUGGGCAGUCAUUGCAGACUGCAGAGUAUAAAAGACUACGCAUUGCAUUUGAAGGUAAGUUCUGAAAAUAACAUGGUAGGAUACCUUUAUUCAUUCAGCUUACACUAAAGAAGUUUCAAAGGGUUUUGCCGUUUUGGGAUAAGAAAAAGGAAACAUUUUUAAUGUCCAUAAGCUAAUUAUGGUUAUGUUAGUGUUUAGAUUGCAUGAAGCUAGCUUUUGUUAGAUUCAGUGGGAAAUAAGAUGGUUUGUAUAAUUACCCAUAUCACCAUAUAGGUUUAUAGCCAACUCUGCAGUUAGAAUCAAAGAAAUGUUUGUGUGUUUAUUAGUUUUUAGCAAAUGCCAACAUACUCCCAAAUAGGAUGUCUCGGAGGCCCCGAAUUAUAGAUGUGAAAUGUAAAAUAUUGUACCCUGUUUCCUGGUGUAUGGGUCUAGCAUACCUCAAAUUUGUUUGAUCAGAAUAAUGGCACAAAUUAGGAUAUUCCACAUUACUAUGAAAGAAGAAAGGAACUAUCAAAGUGUCCUGAUAAGAUUAUGUGACAAAUCCUGAGGAAUUUCUAAAACUUAAUUUGGUAGAUGUGUGCAACCAGUCAUCUGGGUGGAGGUUGUUAGACUGCGUAAUCUGCUUUAUAAUUUGAUAUAAAGAACCUGACAAUUCAGUGCUGUCCAAUACAGCUUUGUCCAGUUAAGGCAGUUAGAGACUUAUCAAAAUACUGGGAUAUAUGAUAGACUGGAAUUAGGCACAUCUGUUACACCCUCAUGACACAGCACGGAACUUUUGUGUUUAUGUAUCUUAAAAAUUCUGUGAGAGGAGCAACCUUGGGCUGGGGGCUGCUGGGGAAGGUUCCCAGUGCUGGUGAUGAGCGAGCUGAGCCGUCCUGAGGGCCCAGCAGUGAG
rnacentral:lncRNA from 1 species